rnacentral:rRNA from 1 species
AAAUGACUCUUGGCAACAGAUAUCUCGGCUCACGCAUCGAUGAAAAAUGUAGCAAAAUACGAUACUUGGUGUAAAUUGCAGAAUCCCGUGAACCAGUGGAUUUUUGAACGCAAGUUGCCCCAGAAGCCAUUAGGCCGAGGGCACGUCUGUCUGGRCGUCACGC